GACAUAGGUGGCGAACGUUAUCCGGAUUUAUUGGGCGUAAAGGAUUCGUAGAUGGUGGAAUACGUUAUUGGUCAAAGUCAAGCUCAACUUGGCGGAAGCUGGUAAUACUAUUCUACUUGAGGAUAGGAGAGGUUGGCGGAAUUCUGUGUGGAGCGGUGAAAUGCGUUGAUCUACAGAGGAACACCAAAAAAGGCGAAGGCAGCCAACUAUUCUAACCCUGACAUUGAGGCAUGAAAGCGUGGGGAGCAAACCGG
rnacentral:rRNA from 1 species